AUAUCUCUCUGUACGGGAAGGAUGAGAAGCUUCGACUAAGGUUCGAUUCGAGCGUCAGCGAGAAAGCGUUGCCGCAGGCAACGACCCGAAGGGCG
rnacentral:sRNA from 5 species